AGUCACUGACAUUAGAUACCCCCGUAGUCCCAGCCGUAAACUAUGCUCGCUAGGUGUCAGGCAUGGCGCGACCGUGUCUGGUGCCGCAGGGAAGCCGUGAAGCGAGCCACCUGGGAAGUACGGCCGCAAGGCUGAAACUUAAAGGAAUUGGCGGGGGAGCACAACAACGGGUGGAGCCUGCGGUUUAAUUGGAUUCAACACCGGAAAACUCACCAGUGAAGACUGUUACAUGAAAGCCAGGCUGAUGACCUUGCUAGAUUUUCAG
rnacentral:rRNA from 1 species